GACGAACGCUGGCGGCGUGCUUAACACAUGCAAGUCGAACGGAAAGGCCCUGCUUUUGUGGGGUGCUCGAGUGGCGAACGGGUGAGUAACACGUGAGUAACCUGCCCUUGACUUUGGGAUAACUUCAGGAAACUGGGGCUAAUACCGGAUAGGAGCUCCUGCUGCAUGGUGGGGGUUGGAAAGUUUCGGCGGUUGGGGAUGGACUCGCGGCUUAUCAGAUUGUUGGUGGGGUAGUGGCUUACCAAGGCUUUGACGGGUAGCCGGCCUGAGAGGGUGACCGGCCACAUUAGGACUGAGAUACUGCACAGACUCCUACGGGGGGCAGCAGUGGGGAAUAUUGCACAAUGGGCGGAAGCCUGAUGCUGCAACGCCGCGUGCGGGAUAACGGCCUUCGGGUUGUAAACCGCUUUCGCCUGUGACGAAGCGUGAGUGACGGUAAUGGGUAAAGAAGCACCGGCUAACUACGUG
rnacentral:rRNA from 1 species